rnacentral:rRNA from 1 species
UACAGAGGGUGCAAGCGUUGCUCGGAUUUACUGGGCGUAAAGCGUACGCAGACGGUGAGAAAGGUCGAAUGUGAAAGCCCCGGGCUCAACCCGGGAACUGCAUCCGAAACCAUCUCGCUAGAGUAUGGGAGGGGGAAGCGGAAUUCCUGGUGUAGAGGUGAAAUUCGUAGAUAUCAGGAGGAACACCUGCGGCGAAGGCGGCUUCCUGGCCCAUUACUGACGUUCAGGUACGAAAGCGUGGGUAGCAAACAGG